UUCCUUUCUGGAAAAAGAAUUAGGAUUACAAUUUGUAUACAUUUUGAUUUGCAUUGAAGUCAUGCACAAUUUUCUUACAAAAUAAAUGCAAGCAAAUCUGUCCAAUCUGUACUAUAUCACCCACUUCAUAACCAGCAAUGCUAAUGUUCUAUCAGAGCAAGAAAUAAGGAGGGAGGAAAAGAAAGGAGGGGGGGUUGGGUGUGGG
rnacentral:misc_RNA from 1 species